GGAUGGUUACACCCUCCCCUGGGAGCCAGAGACGUGGCAGAAGAAAACCAAGCACUUUGUCCUUGGACUCCUUCAAGCUUGGAGGGGAGACUGGUUGCUGGGAUUAGGACAUUCCUGGUAGUUAUUUCAACAAAAUCAAAACCAAAUAACUCUCUGUGCCAGCCAAUUGGAUGCUUCACCCUGGGAAGAACUUGGCCUGCAGGCUCAGAUUUGUGACCAGUGAGGAUGCAGAGACUGUCACCUCCUCAGGGGCGAUCUGCUAAUUCUAGAAUGG
rnacentral:lncRNA from 1 species